CAUGGAGAAAGUAUCCAAUCCAAUCCAACUUUAUUUGUUAAGCACUUUAAAAACAACCAAAGUUGACCAAAGUGCUGUACAGGAGAAUAAAUAGGACAUCAUAAAUGUAAAAAACAGCUUAAUACCAACAGGCAGAAGAAAACUCAGUGUUACUUGAAUCCAGGUAGCAGUCUCCUUCUUCCCUGGCUUUUCUGGUGCUUGUAGCUUCUCUUGGUGUGUUACUGCUGUUACAGGAGCGAGAGGAACAAAACAAGGGGUCACUAAUAGAAAAACUGCCCCAUAGAAGCUAGAGGUCAAAAAAUUCACAGGUAACCUUUAACUCAAUGUACAAUGUACAUACAAGCUUUUCAAGGAGCUUUAAACCAACCUGCAUGGUCUCACAGUCCUAAUUAAUACACUAGAAGAGCAAAAGUGGUGCAACACAGCAAAUAAGCUAUGAUAGUUUUUAUUAUUAUGAUGAUUGCUAUUACCAAUGGUGUGAAUUAGCAUGAAUUAGUUUACUAAAAAUGUGAAAAAAACGGGGGUGUGGAAUAUGCAAAUGAGCAAAUGUGCUAAUCCUGGACAUUCAAUUGUAAUAUGUUAAUGAAGAAGUUUGUUAUUUUAAAUGUUGGUGUGACUAUGCUUUCAAGUCUUUUCUUUUCAGUUUUUCUUUUGAAAUUGCGUGCUGUAUUUUGGAUUAACCUGCUAAUCUCUAGCUGUUUAGCAAGACCCGAAAUGCAGAUGAGGCUGCAGAUCCUGCCCUCUCCCAUCACUCUUUUCUCCAGACAUCUUACGCUAAAUAAGGUGGCGAGUCAUGGAUGUGAUUGACAUGGAGCCAAUGAGAAUCUUUGGUCUGACAGGCACUUGAGGUCAGAUCUCUGUCCACCUGCAGUGUCCUUGUGAGAAGUUCUGCUGCAGCAUUGAUAGCUAAGAGAUUGAGUCUGAAGAGAGGAACUAAAGGGUGGUGAAUGUUGUUGUUCUCUAACACAAGGAACAGGAAGGACCCUUCAGACAAACAAAAACACAAAAAAUAUGUAAAUUGGGAUUUGCAAAUGUGUUUACAGGUUGUAAUUAUCUAUGUGUCUUUUUGUGUGACUGUGCAGUAUAACAAUAGCUAGUUAGUUAGUUGGUGUGUCAUACAUACACUGUAGUACCCAGCUCACAUGGACUUACAUACAACAUUACAGUACAUUCAAAACAAAGCGCUCUGUCUCCUGAUCCAAGCUCGACAAAGGGAAAAAAAAGCUCCCUUUCUAAAAAACACAGCUCAAGUUUUCCAUAAUCAUCCCUCCGGAAACAAAGUAUAGUCUGUAAAUCAUCAUAUAAUGAGCAAUAAAACAUGAAACGGUCUUCAAUCUUACUUAAAUCAGACAAACAAACAAACCCUGUUCUCUUCAGGGAGACCAUUAAACUGUUCAGUCUGUUUCUAUAGCUGAUGGUAGUGUACCUGGAUGUAACAGUGCACAUACAGACCUUUAACCUCUGGUUAAAUUCUUCUUCACAAAAGUCUCAACACUCGUUGCUUUUACAGUAUGUUUGUACCAAAUAUCAAUUAACCAUCUUUCCUUAUACAUAAGGAACCCUUUGUGCAGAGCAUAAUGAAGUUAUUGAAGAAACAAUAGUAUUCAUGUGUAUAGAGUAUAAAAUAGUGUAAUAUUAAUCAUAAUCAUCAUUUUCAUGAUCACAAUUAUACUUCCACAUAAUAUGCACAUACAUACACUGAUGGAUAAUAAAUCAAAUCUGGGAAAUAAUUAUA